CAUGAAGCAAAUGACCUGAACAGGAAGAUGAGAAAAUUUGACCAAAAGCAAGGGCAGGCUAAAACUACAGAUGUACCUAUGCUGGAUUCUAACCCUUCCAUUGCUGUGUCACACUAGAGAAGUCCCUUCUCUAAAGCCGUGAGUUCUCCCAUCUCUAAGAUUUAAACUCAACCAUUGAUUCUGGAAAAUGCCUGGAACUUGAGACCCUCAUGUUAAGUGAAAUAAGCAGAACUCAAAAGGGAAGGAUCAUGUUUUCUCUCCUAUGUGGAAGCUUGAGAGGAAAAGGAAAAGUAAGGUAGGGGGUAUCUCAUGAAAAUCAAAGGGAGAGCAGUAAAGUAGAAGAAAAGGACCAGGAGGAUGGAAAGGGGAAAGGCUGGGGAGGGAUGAUGGCCAUAUUACAUUAUUAUUUUGUGAACUGUAACAAUGUGAAUAUGUAACAAUGAAUCCCAACAUUAUAUACAACUAUAAUGCACUGAUAAAAAAAAAAUGGAAAACAAAUCACAGACUUGGGAAGCAUUUGCAAAUGACAUGCAGAAUUUGAUUGUUAAAAAUAUUCAUACCCAGAAUAUUCAUGUACAUUCGUAUAUAAAUAACCUUCAUGUCACAAAAGACUGCAGAUUAUAAAUUUCCAUUUAUAUGAAAUGUCUGUAACAGUCUAAUCCACAUACAGACAAAAGGCAAAUAUAGUUGCAUAGGGCUAGGGCCAGAAGGGGAGUCAUGGGGCACUGGGAGGUCAUAGCUGAAGGGGAUGAGGUUUCUUCUCAAGUGGAUGAAAUGUUUUAAAAUGAGUUGUGGCAGUGAUUGCAUGACUCCAUGAAUAUACUAAAAACCAUUCAACUGUACAUUUUAAAUGAGUAAAUUUAUGGUAUGCUAAUUAUAUCUCAAUAAAACUGUUACCGAAAAAGAACCCUCAAAAUUCAACUAGAAAAACAAAGACAGAAUUUCAAGUAGACCCAUCACCAGAGAAGACACACAGAUGGUUAAUAAGCACAUGAAAAGAUGUUCAACAUAAUUAGUUUUUAGGAAAGACAAAUUAAAAACUACAAUAAAAGCAUACUACAUACCUAUUAGAAUGGCCUUUAAAAAAACAGUGACGGGCCAGGCACGGUGGCACCCAGCUAUAAUCCAUUUGGGAGGCUCAGGCAGGGGGAUCACAAGUGGGAGGCCAGCCUGGGCACUUUAAGAGAGACCUGGUCUCAAAAUAAAAAAUAAAAAGGGCUGGGGGUGUAGUUCAGAGGUAGAGCACCCCUGGGUUCAAUCUCCAGUACUGCUAAAUAAAUAAAUAUUUUUAAAAUACUGUCGAAGCCAAGUGUUGACAAAGAUGCCCAGUAAUUGGAACUCUUACACAUGCAGGUGGGUGUGCAACAUGGUACAAACAGCCACUCUGGAAAAUAAUUUGGCAGUUUCUUACAAAGUUAAACAUAGACUUAUACGACCCAGCAAUUCCACUUUUAUUCACCCAAGUGAAAUGAAAACCCAGAUUCAAACACAACCUGCCUACAAAUGUUCAUAAAUAGUGACUAUAUCUGUAGUCACCAAAUGCUAAAAAACAAUCCUAAUGUCCUUCAACCAGGGAGUGGAUAAACCAAGCGCUGGGCGUCUUCAGUGGGUUAGUGCUCAGUAAUGGAAGACUAACUACCUGAAUGAACUCCAAUGCAUUAGGUUAAGUGAAAGCAUCCAGACACAAAAGGCUGCAUACCAUGGUUCUGUUUACAUAACAUUCCUGCAAAGGCAAAACCACAGGGACAGAAAACAGAUCAGUAGUGUCCAGAGGCUGAGGGAGAAAGGACUAGGGACUCUAAAGGGGCAUGAAGAAAUUUCAGAGGUGACAGAACUUUCUAGUCUUGAUUAUCAUAAUAGUUGCACAGCUGUGUGUUUUUUGACAAAACUCAUCAAAAUAUAAACUUAAAUAGAAUGAAUUUUACAGCAUGUAUCCAACCAGCAGUGAGCCUAUACUCCCACAGUCAGAAUCAACUAUUUUCCUUAAGGCAGGUCACUUACUGUCCAGCUACCCUGGUUACUGCUGAGCCAGCAGGACUUAUUCACCUGGCUGGACUUUGUAGAUAGUUAUGUGUUAACUCUGUUUGUCCCACAGUGUGGGUAUAAAAUAGCAAAGUAUAUCUAACUGCUAAAAAUUGGUGAUUUCCUAACUAGGAUGCUCUCUGCAGUUAGUACUUCCCAGAAUAUCCUAUCUAAUUCUUGCUUUAUAAUCACAUGGUAAACUCCUACCUGUCUAUGCACAUGCUCCUCUUCACUGAAGCCUCUCUCUUUGACAAGCACCUCUCUCUCUGACAAGCACCUCUCUCUCUCUCAGACAAAGCCAGUUACUUACUCUUCUGUACUCCUGUAGUCCUGGGUUAGUCCCAUCUUGUGGUAUUCAUUUGACUCUAUUGAAAUUAGUAAUGCCCUUAUGAUAUGAGCACCAGAAAUAUUAUGGGAUUAUUGACUGUUGAUCAUAUUAAUUAGUGUGUGUGUGUUGAGUGAAUAAGUAGAUGACUAUAAGCAAUUAGCCCAUGAUGCAAUGUAAACCGCAAUACUGGAUAAACUGCAGAACUAAACAGACUUAAAUUAGUAUUGUUAGAGUCUACACCUGGGGAGUGCACCCCAGACCUCAUCCAGUUAUUAGCUGCAAGCACAACUGAACUAGGACUUAAAAACCCAGACUUCUGGAGGUCAGCAGGACUAACAGACCUGGACAGAAAGACUGAGACCUCCGUUGCUGUUGUUCCCCUGCACCAGACUCCUCUGGCCCAGAUGGAGUUCCAGUGACCCGGAACUCCAUCACACCUGAGUCACGUCACAGAAUAUAAGAUUAAGAACAGAAGGAACAUUGUUUAAUUCAUUGCUGUGCCCUCAGCAUCUGGGGCAGUGGCUGAAUCAGAGCCCGGGCUCCAUAAUGUAUUUGUGGAACAAACGAAGCCCACUUUUGCACAUAUGGAAAUGAGGUUUCACAGCCUGUCAGUAGUAAAGCCAGGAUAUGGAUGCAGAUCUUCUGUGAGUUUUACUUUAAAGGAUGCUCUUUUAACCAGUAUCCAGUGGAUUGAGCCUCAGGGCACAGACUUUGGAAUCAAAAAGGCCUCAGCUUAAAUGAGUGGCUCUUAACUGAGAUCUGUCAAAGGGACAGAAAUGCAAACAAAUCAUUUUACAGAUGACUUCAAGGAGUUUAAGGACAUUCUUCAGGAACUUUCUUGAGCUUUGUGGAUAUGGUCUUUGGACCACUCAUUUCAUCCCUCUGGGCCUCAGUUAGAGCUCUCAAGAGGAGACCAUGAGACUGGUCUCAAGUUCACUGGAAGAUCACAUGGGAUCCAAAUGAAUGUUUGCUAUUCAGUAUCCUCAGUGCCCAUUUUCCCUACCCUAUCUGAGCCGCUGUGUGACAAGCUGGGAAACAGGCUCCAGAGACCUUUGCUCCAGACUUGCCCCUCCUUUGCCCCAGCCUGUGGGACUCUCAGACUCUUAUUUUCUAUGAGCAUUAGAGGCCCCACCAGGAAAAUGGGAUUAUUGCUCAUUUAACAGAAUGAAUAAAAUGAGAUAGUGAAAGCCCUCAGGAAACACUAAAGC